rnacentral:rRNA from 1 species
UACGUAGGGUGCGAGCGUUGUCCGGAAUUACUGGGCGUAAAGAGUUCGUAGGCGGUUUGUCGCGUCGUUCGUGAAAACUUGGGGCUUAACUCCAAGCGUGCGGGCGAUACGGGCAGACUUGAGUACUACAGGGGAGACGUGGAAUUCCUGGUGUAGCGGUGAAAUGCGCAGAUAUCAGGAGGAACACCGGUGGCGAAGGCGGGUCUCUGGGUAGUAACUGACGCUGAGGAACGAAAGCGUGGGUAGCGAACAGG